AUACGGAGGGUGCAAGCGUUAUCCGGAUUUAUUGGGUUUAAAGGGUGCGUAGGCGGUUUGAUAAGUCAGCGGUGAAAUAUUUCAGCUUAACUGGAAAGGGUGCCGUUGAUACUGUCGAGCUUGAAUUUAGUUGCUGUGGGUGGAAUGUGUGGUGUAGCGGUGAAAUGCAUAGAUAUCACACAGAAUAUCGAUUGCGAAGGCAGCUCACAAAGCUAAUAUUGACGCUGAUGCACGAAAGUGUGGGGAUC
rnacentral:rRNA from 1 species